CACCCGUCUGCUGAAGAACGAGGAGGGAGCCUGAUAAGUCAAGCCUUGGGGGAGGUCUGCGCUUCACUAAGUGACUGCUGAGUAAUUAGAUAUGGUCACGAACAACACUUCUAAUGGUGGCCUCAAGCUCUUUCACCGUGCUGACGCUGUUGCGACUUGUUCCCAGCCUGGGGAGGGAAGCUUUGGAGUCUGGUUGGCCUGGGGGUGUCAAGAGGAUCUUCCUGUUGGUGGACGAGCUCCUCUCCAGAUGUCUGUCUCACAUGUAGGACAUGCUUCCUUUUUGACAGACACGGACGGAGACACAAUACAAUUCAGUGAUGUACACAAAAAAAAAAAAAACAGAAACAACAAACACAUAAUAAACCCUCUGUCACCCUUGCCUGAAAAUAAAAUGACUAUGUUGCCCAUAUUUUAAAUGACAAACUACUUUUCUAAUUUCAAUAAAUAUAUAGCAAAGAUA